rnacentral:rRNA from 1 species
UACGUAGGGUCCGAGCGUUGUCCGGAAUUAUUGGGCGUAAAGAGCUCGUAGGCGGUUCGGUAAGUCAGGUGUGAAAUCUCCACGCUCAACGUGGAGGCGCCACCUGAAACUGCCGUGACUCGAGUCCGGUAGGGGAGUGUGGAAUUCCUGGUGUAGCGGUGAAAUGCGCAGAUAUCAGGAGGAACACCGGUGGCGAAGGCGCUGCUCUGGGCCGGUACUGACGCUGAGGAGCGAAAGCGUGGGUAGCAAACAGG